GCCCUCGUGGAUCAACGGUAGAUCUCCUCCUCACAGUGCUGUCGUUAUCAGAGUCAUGUUAUGGAGGUGAUGUGGGUUCGACUCCCACCGAGGGCA